rnacentral:rRNA from 1 species
UGCCAGCCGCCGCGGUAACAUGGGGGGCGUAAGGGUUAUUCGGAAUUAUUGGGCGUAAAGGGCGCGUAGGCGGUCUUGUCAGUCAGGUGUGAAAGCCCGGGGCUCAACCCCGGACGUGCAUUUGAAACUGACGACCUUGAGUACGGGAGAGGAUAGCGGAAUGUGUAGUGUAGCGGUGAAAUGCUUAGAUAUUACACAGAACACCGAUAGCGAAGGCAGCUUACUAAACUGAUACUGACGCUGAGGCACGAAGGCGUGGGUAGCGAACGGGAUUAGAUA